AUGUAUUCCACGAACAAUAUAAGUAACCCAUCCUUCCUCAUCGCCCCGCACACCCUGGACUGCGACAUCCAAGGCACUAUUUCCCCUGGAAACAUCGGGUUCUAUCAGUGGCAGCAAGGCGUCUCCGAGGCUCGUCUCGUGCACGACAGGGACUUAUUCCGCUUGGCUCGCUUCUUCUCCCAUUGUGACGGCCUGGUGCUUGUCCCCACGGGCACCAAGGUGUACCUCUUCAACCCGGCCACUAGGGACAUCCUCACGCUUCCGGAGAGCAGUCACAACAAGGUGCCCAGCUUCAUCCACCACCCCGUUGGGUUCGGCCGUGAUCCUCGCACUGGCAUGUACAAGGUAGUCCGGUCCUUAUUCGGUUCGACAGACUGUAAAACUGGGACCGUCAGCAUGGGGAUGGAGGUGUGUAUCGUGGGCGGCCCAGCUCCUCCUCAGUGGAGGGAAAUCGCGGGGGAUCAGCCGUACGCCCCCGUGUCAUCGGUGCCAGCGCAAUCUGUCAAGGGGGGUGUGUAUUGGAUAGUACCAAAAAUCAAAUACAUGACAGGUGGAGACGAUGAACAGUAG
rnacentral:rRNA from 1 species